UCGUCAUGAGGGCAUAGAGAACGCACACCCCAAACACCAAUGCAAACGCAAAGACCUUGCUCAAAGCCUUGACACAUACACACACAUCAUUCCGUGCUGCCCCUCUCCCCCUUUUGCCUCUUCCUUCUCUGCUGUGCCACAUCCGCGUCACCGGUCUUUCACCCCUCCUCCUGUGCUCUGCGCACAUGAGAGGCGCACCGCCAAAAGGUGCGGAGGGAAACACGGCACGAUAGGAGAAGGAGGGAAGCCGCGCCGAGCUGCUCUGGCUGCACGUAAGCGUAUCUGCUCAUAGACAAACAGACACACCCACAUACAUCUUCAAGCAACCGCGCUACACUUGAAUCAACCCCCUUUCACACCCCCACACCCACCCACCCACACACCAACACGCACACCGUCGUCACCAUGCCGCGCCAACCGACCAAAAACCGCAUUAACAUGCACGACAUUGUCGAGCAGCCCCUCAGCGUCAUUCCAGAUGCUGUGGACGCCGUCCUGCGCCGUCCAGAGCCGCUGGACGAGCUCGAGGUGCAGAGCAUCUUCUUCGAGAGCUCGUACAUACUGCUUCGGGCAGAGGAGGCGCUCUCGGCUAAGGACGGCAACGCAUUCUGUGCCCUAUUCAAGAUCUUUUCUGAGGGCUUUGCCCACAGCGAGGCCUCCUUCGAAGAGGGCAUCCGCACAAUGGUGCAGAACGAGUCCUUGCUGCAGACGAUGCACGCAAUUUUCAAAGUGGUUGUGGAGCAGGAGGCCCUGCCGCUGCACAGCGCCGGCACCGUUGAGCUUAUUCACGUGCUCAGCAGCCUGUUCGAUGGCGCGGCGCUGAAGGAAAAGUGCGGGGCGGUAUUUAUGCGAGGGUUUGCCAAGGUACUGCAGCGGGUGUACUCAAACGCAGAGGAGGCGCGCAGGCACUUCCACCUGCAGCGAGGCACAGCAACGGCACUCAUCAACCUUGUGAAGGGGUCAAAGCAAAACAAGCAGCGCCUGGCAUCGUGGAAGUUUGUAGCGGACUGCUGCGCUGCCUCUGUUGACGUCUUCUUCCAGUUGCAGUGCGUCGAGCUGCUGUUCCGCGUGUCGCGACAGAACAAAGACGUCUUCUCCCACCUUGGUGGCUCACUCCCGCCCGCAACGAUCGAAGAGUUGCGAGCGCUGCCCAACGACGGCACGCUGCUUUCUCGCAUGACGCUGCUGAUUGAGCACCUCAACGAGGGCCGUGCGCAGGUGCUGCGCUACCCGCUGAAGGAAGUCGUGGCCGCGGAGACGACGCUGACAAGCUCCACCAAUGCCUACUUCACGCCCAACUAUGUGAUUGUCAUGGUCACGGCCGCCAACGCCGACAACAUUACGAUACCGUACCGCAUCAUCCGCUCCAUUACUCUCGGCCGCGAUGGCCGCGUCAUUGUGCGACUGGAGGAGUUCCCCGUCAAGCUGGAGUUACUGCUGAGUCACACGACGGGCAUGGACACCGUCACCUUCUACAUGGCCCAGGAGGAUCUUGCCACCUUCAAGCAGUCCCCGGUACGGCAGUGGAUCGUGGAGGCGCUGCAGGUGCGGAAAGAGGAGCAACAUCACCAUCGUCCACCGCAGGCACCGCGCUCCCCGGACUCCAUGGCGAAACCAGCGGAGAAGACGGAGCCGGCGGCACACGAGUCUUUGUCUUCCACAACCCCUGCUGCUUCCUCGCAUGAGGCUUCCGAUGACAUGGCCACCACGAGGAAGAAGGCUCGGCUGGAGGGUUCCGCAGCACCUGCUGCUGCGGUGCCCUCCACAAAUCAGCCUCCAAUUGCCGCCUUCCUGCACGUGGUGGAUGCGCUGGUGGAGCAGGCGGCUACACCGAAUGAGGCGCAGGCGAUGUUGCUGCAGCUGCGUCGGCUCAUGGAGGUUCGCAAGGAGAUGCAGCGCGGAAAAUCGAUGGAUGACCUAAGCGACGCCAUGCGGCACAUUCAAAACCGCGUUGACGAGACGCGCCGCACGGCAAAGGAGAGCAGAACGGCGUGGCACCAGGCCAUGUUGGAGGAGCUGGAGCGGGUGGAGAACGUCGUCGUCGGCGCGCAGGACAAGGCGGCGGCGGGGGUGGAGCAGUUGAAUGAUCACCUGAAGAAGGUCAAGACGAGCAACCAGGCCAUCAACGAACGGAUUGCAUGCAUGGAUAUCGAGCUGCAACAAACCUUGGAGGAGCUCCGUGAGGAGGAGCUGCGCUGGACCAACGAGAUUCACACUAAGAGCAUGCGUGAGGCGGAGCGACUGGAGUUUGAAGUCGAUCAGCACCUUGUCAACCGUAGCCGGCCAAUGGCGCUCUUAUCUGACUACAUGCGACAAUAGGCGGUGUUGUGCCAUCUAACGCGUGUAGCGAGACCUAUUUCCCGUGCUGCUUGCUCUAUCCUUGCGCAAUACAUCAGUGCACGCACACGUGCACACGUAAGCCCAGCGCUGCGAAACCCGAAAAGAGCUGAGAAUGCGGGCAUGUGUGCUGCUGCUCGGCGGUAGGCGUGUGGCUGUCUGUGCUGUGACGUGUGGUCUAUGUCUCCGCAAGAGGGAGUUUAGAAGGAGGGGAGGAGAGGCGCGUGUGAGAAUGUAUGAUGCUGCACCGCACAAACACGAAUACCCCAUCCCUUGCUCGUUGUCGUCUUGUAUUUUUCCUUUAUCUCCCUUCUCUUCGUCCUUCUGUGUGUUUUUACCGUGAGUCAUCACACACACACACACACACAUGCGUGCGAGUGCUCUCUGCCAAUCUGUCUUUCUUUAGACGAAC
rnacentral:misc_RNA from 1 species